rnacentral:rRNA from 1 species
AUGCAAGUCGAACGAUGAUCCCAGCUUGCUGGGGGAUUAGUGGCGAACGGGUGAGUAACACGUGAGUAACCUGCCCUUGACUCUGGGAUAAGCCUGGGAAACUGGGUCUAAUACCGGAUACGACCAUUCCACGCAUGUGGUGGUGGUGGAAAGCUUUUGUGGUUUUGGAUGGACUCGCGGCCUAUCAGCUUGUUGGUGGGGUAAUGGCCUACCAAGGCGACGACGGGUAGCCGGCCUGAGAGGGUGACCGGCCACACUGGGACUGAGACACGGCCCAGACUCCUACGGGAGGCAGCAGUGGGGAAUAUUGCACAAUGGGCGCAAGCCUGAUGCAGCGACGCCGCGUGAGGGAUGACGGCCUUCGGGUUGUAAACCUCUUUCAGUAGGGAAGAAGCGUAAGUGACGGUACCUGCAGAAGAAGCGCCGGCUAACUACGUGCCAGCAGCCGCGGUAAUACGUAGGGCGCAAGCGUUAUCCGGAAUUAUUGGGCGUAAAGAGCUCGUAGGCGGUUUGUCGCGUCUGCUGUGAAAGACCGGGGCUCAACUCCGGUUCUGCAGUGGGUACGGGCAGACUAGAGUGCAGUAGGGGAGACUGGAAUUCCUGGUGUAGCGGUGAAAUGCGCAGAUAUCAGGAGGAACACCGAUGGCGAAGGCAGGUCUCUGGGCUGUAACUGACGCUGAGGAGCGAAAGCAUGGGGAGCGAACAGGAUUAGAUACCCUGGUAGUCCAUGCCGUAAACGUUGGGCACUAGGUGUGGGGGACAUUCCACGUUUUCCGCGCCGUAGCUAACGCAUUAAGUGCCCCGCCUGGGGAGUACGGCCGCA